GCAAUUCUUAUACGAAUGUGUUA
rnacentral:siRNA from 1 species